GACUAGACGUGACCUGGCAGAUUAGC
rnacentral:piRNA from 1 species